GUUUUAAAUACUGUGCAGUGACAUGCACACUACUAAAUGCAAUGAUUCAUUCAUAAUGAUGUUUAUCACGCUAAGGAUCAAAGCCUUGCUAUAACAUCAUGACAUAAAAUAAUUGAAAUGCAAUGUCAUGUAAGAAGUACCUUUUACUGUAAGCACACUGUAGACACUGACGGCAUACUGUAGCCCACAACAAGAAGGAUUACUGUACUUAAUUCAGCCACUCUUUACUCACUCAUAACCUCCCCUCCAUGCAUCCUUCUCUCCCACUCUCAUUUGACAGAUUAAUAAGGCCAACCUUCCUGGUAGGUCCAGUGGGGGCACCGGAUUGGUUUAUCUAAGUACUAAGCCGCAGCAGCUUACGAGCUUGUGUGCAGAUAGUGAUUGGUCAGUGCCAGCAGAGCGUGAGCUAGCGUCUUGAAGCCUAUCCCCCAUCCCAGAGCUAUGACAGGAGGUAGUAGGACUUGUGACUGAGGCCUGUCCCGCUUUGGUUCUGUAUUUAGCAAGGGUAGGUCCUGGAAACCCUGCUACAUGGGGCAAAGUGUUGGGAGAGUUCUAUUCAGGUCAGCUGCUUUGAAAGGCUGGAUGUGAGCAUCUAAGUUGGAAAGCGAGGACAAAUGAAAACCCGCUGAUUUGUGGUAUGAAUUUGGAAGUAACAUCAGGAAGAGAGGAAAAAGAGAGAGCACAGAAGAGGAAGACAGGGUUUUCAGUGCCAGCUCAGUGAAAACAAUUAAAAGCUUUUGUGGACAGACACCCCAGAGAGAAGAGGAGAGGAAGGACAGGAGUCCGAUACACAUCAGAUCCAGGGACAAACUACUUGGCAAUGAAGAAAAGGAACGAGGUAUUGUGGGAAACAAGUACCCCCAGAAGAAUGACUGACUGACACAGCAUCACUUGUCAGAGGAUUCUGUCUUGGACAAAUCUUUACUCAUCCAGUUGCUACUGACCUCUCUGAUACACAGGAAUAACAGCAACGGAAGAAAAAGGCAUACUGCAGCAGAUCUACCUUCAUGUGCUGACAAAUGAUGUUUGGAGGUCAGACUACUCAGCAAUCAGUUGAGUCCACCAAUGGAACAACUGUACAUCACAUAUUCUGUUCUAGAACACUCAGGCCAUUGUAGAGGAGCAGUGAGACAAACAGUCAAACACACUGUGAGUUGUUCCAUCCCAAACUUAUCCUGAAUAAAACUUAAAGCGUCACAU